AUCAAAAUUUGUGUUUCAGUUAUCAUUAAUAUUUUACAAAGUUAUAGAAUGUGCCUGAUUUAGUCUUUAACAAUCUCUUCAAUUAUUUACAUUCCCAUGUAAAAAAUGAAGUAAUGAAGGUCCAUGUAAAUAACAUUCCCAUGCUUUAAUGAAGCAUAAUUUCUUGACAUUGCAGUUUCUAAGUGCCCUGUCUUGAGGUUGGGAAAGCUAACGGACAGUUAAAGGGCAGUCAGAGGUCAAGGUCAGCAAAGCAUCACCUUUGACAUUUGAAAUCCAGCAGCAGGUAUCACAGUGAACCCCAUUCCAGCAUCCAGGAAGUUUCUCUGCCCUGCCUCUCCUCCAGCCACCUCAGAAUCUGUGUCUGCAGUGUUGGUCCUGCUUUCCUGUCUCUCCUCUGCCUUUUCUUUCUCUUCACCAACUUCUACCGAGUGCCUCUGAUGUCCCAGACAGUGGCAGUGGGAGUACAAAGGCUAAUAAACCCGGCCCUGGUCCUCAGAGAACUUAUAUUUUCUGUGCAGAUAUUAAGUUAUACUGUCAUAUAUAGUGUUGACAAACAUUGAUACAGAUUUCCUGUGAAGUGCAGAAGCACCGUCGUAGAAGCAGAGAUGCAGAGGCAGCACUGGUGACUCACACAUGGAGAGCUGGAGUUCUUGGUCUAGUGGGAUAAACUGACCUGGACAUCAUUUCAGUGCAGCGGAAGCAAGUCUAUCAUCUCUUUUGGAUGGAGUGUGGCCAGCCCUGCCUUGCGAUGUGUUGUGGGCAGUUGACCGGUUGAAGAAUGCAUUGCUAUUAUGUGAGGAACAUUGGCCUUUGAAAAAGCAGAACUAGAUCCACGUUCUUGCCUGAUAACUGUAACUAUCAUCUAGUUUGUAAAGGGGAAUGCAGUUCACUGAAAACUUCUUAUGACAGUAGGGAAAGGAUUGGGGUGUCUGCAUUGGUUUGUAUCAUAUAGGUCAUAUGAGAGAGCAUUUAGGCUGGAGGGAGACUUUUCAUCUCUCUAACUUUACUUUCACAGGACAAUUCCAUCAUGUUUUGAAGAUUUUUGGGUCAAAACCUCGUUGUUCUGCUAUGUGUUUUGGGGCAAAUUUAUACAUAUAAUUUGCUUAAAUAUUUCAGAGAAUACAAGAAUAUAUGUGUGGGGUAAAAAUCUGAAAUUUGCAUUCCCCCUUCUCUAGAAGUAACCAUUGUGAAUAGUUAAGUCUGUA